rfam:Anaerolineae bacterium 49_20 MPI_scaffold_6835, whole genome shotgun sequence.
GGAGAGAUAGCAUAGUCCGGCCUAAUGCGCGCGCCUGGAGAGCGCGUGUACCCUUUGGGUACCGUGGGUUCGAAUCCCACUCUCUCCG